AUGGCCUGGACUCCUCUGCUCCUCGCGCUCCUCUCUCUCUGCACAGGGUCCCUCUCCCAGCCUGUGCUGACCCAGCCGCCCUCCCUCUCUGCAUCUCCGGGAGCCACAGCCACACUCACCUGCACCCUGAGCAGUGGCUCCAACGUUGGUGGAUACUGGAUAGCCUGGUACCAGCAGAAGCCAGGGAGCCCUCCCCGGUAUCUCCUGUACUACUACUCAGACUCCAGCAAUGAGCUGGGACCUGGGGUCCCCAGCCGCUUCUCUGGAUCCAAAGACGCCUCGGCCAAUGCGGGGCUCCUGCUCAUCUCGGGGCUGCAGCCUGAGGACGAGGCUGACUAUUACUGUAACAUAUGGGACGGCACCUCUAAGACUCACACAGUGGUCCAGACCCACAGGGAAGGAACAUUCCUCAGGGAUAACGGUUCCCAUGGAGACAUGUGA